rnacentral:rRNA from 1 species
CCUACGGGUGGCUGCAGUGGGGAAUAUUGCGCAAUGGGCGAAAGCCUGACGCAGCGACGCCGCGUGAGGGAUGAAGGUCUUCGGAUCGUAAACCUCUGUCAGCAGGGAAGAACGGUCACUGUGCUAAUCAGCAGUGAAUUGACGGUACCUGCAAAGGAAGCACCGGCUAACUCCGUGCCAGCAGCCGCGGUAAUACGGAGGGCGCGAGCGUUAAUCGGAAUUACUGGGCGUAAAGCGCUCGUAGGCGGUAUGUCAAGUCAAGGGUGAAAUCCCCGGGCUCAACGUGGGAACUGCCUGUGAAACUGGCAAACUGGAGUGUGUGAGAGGAUAGUGGAAUUCCAGGUGAAGGAGUGAAAUGCGUAGAUAUCAGGAGGAACAUCAGUGGCGAAGGCGACUAUCUGGCACAUAACUGACGCUGAGGAGCGAAAGCGUGGGUAGCAAACAGGAUUAGAUACCCCAGUAGUC